rnacentral:lncRNA from 1 species
ACCAAAAAACUCUUAGGGAAACCAAUUCCCAUAAGGGUUGUGGCCAAAGAAACAAGAACCACAAGCUGCAGAAGCAUGUGGUAUUGGCCUUCAGGUCCCAUGUGAUCAGUAGAGUGAAGGUGAAAGAGAAGAAGCUGCUGCCCAAAGGCUAUGGCUCCAAGGAGUUGGGUCAAACCAUGUUGUGCUUUUGGGGCAAUUUUGUCAAGAAUGAUAGCAAAAGCUGCAUAGACCAAGAAGGCCAUGGAGAUUGAACAGUGCUCAAAGUUGCGGAGACGGUUGGUGGGGAUGGUUCCAUCGUCAUCGAAGGGUUGGUGUUUCUCCGGGGCUAUGAACAGUUCCGUUGCAAUGAAGGCAAAUGAGCCUCCCAUGAUUAAGAAGGGCUCCAAAUACUUGAAUUUGGUGGUGGGAAACCAGGUUGGAGAUGCGUAGGAGUUUGGCUGGUAAAGAUGGAGUUUAAUGUGGUUGAAGAGGUGCCAUAAGCCAAUGAGAAGAAACCCAAGGCCUGGUGUUACAUGUCCAACUAAAGUGCCCAUUUCCAAUUGCUUGGUUUGUGUUGGAGAGAGAGAGAGAGAGAGGUUUUUUAUGUAGUUGGUGUUGUUUAAGCCUAGAGAGAGAGAGAGAGAGAGAGAGAGGUUUUUGAUGUUGUUGGUGUUGUUUAAGCCGAGAGAGAGAGAGAGAGAGAGAGAGAGAGAGAGAGAGAGAGAGAGAGAGAGAGAGAGGUUGCUUAUGUUGUUGGUGUUGAUUAAGCCUAAAGGGAAAGAAAGGGAGGGAGGGAGGGCGAGAGAGAGAGAGGUUGUUUAUGUUGUUGGUGUUGUUUAAGCCUAAAGGGAAAAUAAGGGAGGGUGAUGGAGAAGGGUGGCAAAUGAGAGAGGGAUUUUAAAGAGUUCAGGGAGGGGAAUGGGGGUGAAAUCCUAAGAAGUCUAAAGGCUUCCAAGCUUAGGAGAAGUUUUUUAAUUUGUUGGGAACACGAUUUGUUACCGUAAGUGAGAGGACUUUAAAUGGGUAAACUGUCAUUUGACCUUUUGAACUAUUACUCCAGUUGAAAUUGAUCCUCGAACUAUUUUUUUGGUAAAUUAACCCCCUGAACUAUUUGAAAUAAGACAAUUGACCCUUGUCGGUAGAUUCCAUCUACUAUUUCAUCAAAUUCAAAGGAAAAUUAGUAUUUCCUUCAUCAAUUCUUACUUAUCAACUAUAACUAACAAUGUACUUAUGACAUGUGAAAACAAAAUAAUGAGUAAUGACAAUGUGAGAUAGUCCGUUAUGUAAACGUUUGGUUUUUUAUGUUUUCUCAUUAUGCUAUAUAUUUUUGAAUUAUUUUGUGUCCAUGUGUCAAAAUUUUGUUGGUGUUUAUAGAUGACAAGUAAUAAUUAAUGAUAAAAUGACUAAUUUGCACCUUGAAUUUGUCAGAAUUGAUUCUGCAAUCUAAUGGCAAGGGGUUAAUUGACUAAUUUUAAAUAGUUCAGGGGUUAAUUUACCAAAAAAUUAAUUUAAUAAGUCAAUCUCGACUGAAGUGAUAGUUUAGGGACUCAAACCGCAAUUUACCCACUUUAAUUAUAUAGAAAGAAACAUAGACUCAGUUACGAUUCGCUAGGGCUCCAUUUAGGUUAACUGUGGGUUUUGGUUGUUCUAUUAUGGGAGUGGCCUCUUAAUCUGAUAAUCCUACUUCUGAUAUUCAGGACCAAAAGCAGUCCCUGAAUAAUUGAUUUUUUUUAGAUAACGUUUUAUCGCAUUGCCAUCUAACAACUAACAACAAUUAAUUGAGUGAUUCUUUGAUGUGUCACUCAUAUUGCGUUACUAUUCUCCUCAGCCUAUAACACUUCGAUUUGUUUUUUGCUAAUAUAUUUGGAGUGAGACUUAUCAACUUUUUCAUCCACUUUUAUCAUAAUAUGUAGGAUCAUACAUUACAUGACUUGUAUUUCUAACAUCCAUAAAACUUUCUACGAGUAAUCUAUGUAUCUUCUAUAUCUUAAUACAAGGAUUCAAGCUAGCCAGAGUAACAAGCUACAAACCAUAUCACAAUUCGGUUCAAAUAAAGUUUUUCCGCCCUUAUUAAGUUCCAAACCAUUAAAAGAAGUGAAAACUUGAGAUAACUUCAAUUGGUUUAAUUAGUCCACUGACUAGGCUUUCACGUCAGGUCCUAAUGUCAUGACUCAUUAUAUAUUUGUUCAAUACCCAAUCCGCCCUUUACGAUUUUUAUUAUUAUUUUAUUCAUACAAUAAUAUAUUUACACUAUAGGUAAAGGAAUAAAUUAACUUCAAACUCAUUAUUUAUGAUAAUUCGAGUUCACAAAGUAAGUUUCUACAUCUUUCCAAGUAAUCUGCUUAACAAAAGUAGUAAGAAACAUAAUACAUAGUAAUCAUGAAAAACUGGCCUUUGUUUCACGGAAAGAAAAGUUUAAGGGUGAGUAGCUUUUCGCAUCUUCCAGGAAGGAGCUCAAGUCUGGAAAUAUGUAGCCAUAUUUUAGUCUUCUUGCAUGUACCAUAUUUUAGGCCAUGCUUUACGUACGUAUAAAUAUACAAAACAGACACCAACCUAUCUUGGAAGACAAACAUCCGCCAUAUGGGAAAACCCAUUUAUGUUUGGAAGCCCAGUCCUUGUGAUUAAGACUCGCUAAUCUUCGGUAGUCAUAACCAAGAUCCACAUCCUCUUGAUCUAUUUCCCAGUGAAAAAACACAUCCUCGACCUCUCAUGAACGCUUUCACUUAAAUCAUGGAUAUAGGUGAUUGUGAAUCGAUUCGUAUCUACGUUAUAAAAUUCUUAAUCGAUGGAUCAUUCAUCAUGAUUGCGAUUUCGAGGACGAAAUUUUUUUAACGGAGGGAAGAAUGUGAAAUCCCGUUCCUGGAUUUCACUGUUAUAAUCUACGUAUUUGUAUUAUUGAGAUUUUAUAUUAUUUCUCGAGAAUUUAUAUUAAUCUGUUUGAAUUUAGAUUUUAAUUAAACAAGUUACGAAGUUUGACGUUUGGAAAUUAAUUAUUUAAAAUCCGUAGACCUUUCGAGGUCACAAUUUAUAUUUUCGAAUAGAUCUUGAAACCAUGAAUGUAUAGGCGAAAGCCGUUUGCGAGUUCGGAUUAUACGGUAUAGUUACGAACAUUUGAAGUUGUUUUACUAAACUAUAGAUUUUAAAUCAAUUAAACUUCCACAAGAAAGAAGCCUAUUCAGAUUUAAGCAAAAAUAAGGGGACAAAUCAGCUAAAAGGAGAAGGACCAAUCAAAUUAAAGGGGGAAGGUUUCAAAAAAAAAAAAAAAAAAAAGGGGGAGGGGUCUAAUUCUAACCAAUUUUGGGGGUCGUCAAAAACACAAAUAGAUUUUCUUCUAAUGAGGAAAGGGGACCGUAUAACUUAUAAGGAUUGCAAAGUUAUACCGGGAGAGAGCUUGGCUAAUCAACAUCGCUUGUUGGUGAUGGAUGUACAUAUUAAAAGAGAGAGAGAGAAAAAAGAACAAGACUUGAAAGUGCCCAAGGACUAGAUGGUGAAAUCUAAAAGGAGAAAAACAAGUCAUUUUCAAAGAGAAAGUAAUCACCCAAUGUGUGUGGGAUAGAGAGGGGGAAGCUCGCCAAAGGUGGGAUUCCAUGGCUAGUUGUAUCCGAAAAGUAGCAAAAUAGGUAUUAGGAGAGUCCAAGGGCUUUGCUCCACACCAAAAGGAAUCUUCCAAGGGCUUUGCUCCACACUAAAAGGAAUCUUAGUGGUGGAAUGAGGAGGUACAAACAAAGGUGAAGGCUAAGAAGGAAUGUUGUAAAGCCUUAUACAAGGAUAGGACCGAUGAAAAUGGUGAAAGGUAUAGAAGAGCGAAGCAAGAGGCGAAGAAAGCUGUAAGAGAAGCUAAGCUAGCGGUUUAUGACGAUAUGUAUAAGCGACUCGAUACCAAAGAAUGAGAGUUUGAUAUCUAUAAACUAGCUAAAGCAAGGGAAAAGAAGAUAAGGGACCUAAACCAAGUGAGGUGCAUUAAGGACGAGGAUGGAAAGGUUCUUGCUACAGAGAACGCAGUCAAAGAUAGAUAGAGAGGUUAUUUUCAUAAUCUUUUCAAUGAAGGACAUGAAAUGAGUACUUCUUUGGGGGAGUUAAGUAACUCAGAAGAGUGUAGAAACUACUCCUUUUACCGCCGAAUCAGGAAGGAAUAAGUGGUUGUAGCUUUGAAAAAGAUGAAGCAUAGAAAAGCAGUGGGCCCCAAUGAUAUACCGAUCAAAGUGUGGAAGGUCUUGGGAGAGACGGGAAUAGCAUGGCUCACUGACCUUUUCAAUAGGAUUUUGAAAACGAAGAAGAUGUCAAAUGAGUGGCGAAAGAGCACUUUGGUGCCUAUCUACAAGAAUAAGGGUGACAUACAAAAUUGCAUGAACUAUGGGGGUAUCAAGCUAAUGAGUCAUACAAUGAAGCUCUUGGAGAGAGUCAUUGAGCAUAGAUUGAGGCAAAAGACACGGGUUUCAGACAACCAAUUCAGGUUCAUGCCAGGGCGCUCAACCAUGGAGGCAAUCUAUCUCUUACGAAGAUUGAUGGAAAAAUAUAGAGAUGGGAAAAAUGAUUUACAUAUGGUCUUUAUAGAUUUGGAAAAAGCGUAUGAUAGGGUCCCAAGAGACAUUCUUUGGAGGAUUUUAGAGAAGAAAAGAGUACGAGUAGCAUAUAUCCAAGCUAUAAAAGAUAUGUAUGAUGGAGCAAAGACUGCCGUAAGAACUCAUGAAGGACAAACCGAAAGCUUCCCCAUAACUGUAGGGUUACAUCAAGGCUUAUCUUUAAGUCCUUACCUUUUUGCAUUGGUAAUGGCUAAGUUAACAUAACAUAUUCAAGAUAAUAUUCCUUGGUGUAUGCUUUUCACAGACGAUAUAGUGUUGAUAGAUGAAACUCAGGAAGGGGUAAAUGCGAAGCUUAACCUUUGGAGAGAAGUGUUUGAAUCUAAAGGUAUUCGCCUAAGCCGAUCAAAGACAGAAUAUAUAGAGUGCAAGUUCAGUGCAAAUGGAGGCCAAAAUGAGUUAAGGGUAAGGAUUGGAGAUCAGGAAAUACCAAAAAGCGACCGUUUUCGCUACCCAGGAUCUAUCUUGCAAAAGAACGGAGAAUUAGAUGGAGACCUCAACCAUAGAAUACAAGCUGGAUGGAAAAAGUGGAAGAGUGCAUCCAGCAUGUUGUGUGACCACCGUAUGCCACUAAAGAUCAAGGGAAAAUUUUAUAGGACGACAAUAAGGCUGGCGAUGCUGUAUGGCACAAAAUGUUGGGCUGUGAAACAUCAACACGUACAUAAAAUGGGUGUAGCGAAGAUGAGGAUGCUUCGUUGGAUGUGUAGGCACACGAGAAAGCAUAAGAUUAGGAAUGAGGACAUUCGAGGUAAAGUAUAAGUAGCCAAAAUUGAAGGAAAGAUGAGAGAAAACCGGUUACGGUCGUUUGGACAUGUGCAAAGAAGGCCUACUGACGCUCCGGUUCGAAGAUGUGACUACAGGACAGAGGUUCAAGGCCAAAGGGGUAGAGGAAGACUUAGGAAAACUUUGAAAUAGACCCUAAAAAAAGACUUAGAGUACUUGGAUCUAAUGGAGGACAUGACACAGAACCGAGCGCAAUGGUGUUCUAGGAUUCAUAUAGCCGACCACACUUAAUGGGAAAAUGCUUUGUUGUUGUUGUAUUGGACCCGUUAACCGACCAACUUGACCCACAUGUAUCUUCUCUGUCCGAGCUCUGUUUUGGGUGAUCUUAGUGUCCAUGGAAAGCUCUUGACGAGCCCUACAUCUCUGUAGUGUUAGAUUUCCCAUUUUCUUUUCCAUCUUUGCAGUUCGAAGCCACAAAGCCAGGACUUUACAGGUGGUUUUAUCAUUUUUUCGGUGAUUCCGGCAACCAUUUCCUUCGAGUGAGGUAUGAAACUUCAUCUACUCUUCAUAAUCUUCAAGUUGGUAUGCUUGGUUCGUGCUUUCCUAUUCAUUUUAGAGUUGGGUGUUUAGAACCCUAGAAAUCCAGUUUUCUUCGAUGAAUUUGGACGGUUUCCGAUUAGAAUUUAUUGUCGGCCUAGUUGUGAAAAGUGUUUCCCUUAUUGAGAUCUAGCUACCACGUAAAUUUGAGCUCAUUUAGUUAAUGUUGAAAAUUCAGGUUUUCUAAAUCUUCCACCUUGGCUACCACCACGUGUGGCGGUGCAUGGGAUCGUCCACGAGUGUUGUUUAAGUACCAAAUAUCUUCUAGUGACCCUAUGAACCUAUGUCUAGCUUGGUUUCCCGAAAUUCAAUUGUUUGGUGUGUGAUCAAAUUGGACCACCACUUGUUUGUGUGAUUGAUAACAAUCCGAUUGUUGGAUCGUCGUACAAUUUUGUGAGCACGCUAGUUAUCAAUUGUUGGACACUUAAGAACUUACAGAUCGAAAAUCCGACAUGCGAAUCUUCCGAAUUGAAUAACCUUAGAUUGUUGACCUUAAUGGACCUACCUUAUCGACAUUUGACGUUCUAGUCAACGUGCUCUACUCUAGAGUGUCAUUUAUCUCUAGUUUGUUGUUGAGGCUUGAUGGAGCUUAGUUGGCUCAUCACGAUGACGUGUCGUUUCCAGUUGAUGUGUGUCUCGAUAUAUGUAUUAGUGGCACCAUAUUGAGUUAUACUUGUUUAUUAAAUGUGCUUUCUAUUGAAUUGUUAUUUUUAUUUUUAACAUCGAUCUAUAUUUAUUAAUUGUGAUUCGACUGCAGCUUGGAAAUGUUUAUGAAAAAUGGUUAGAUAUGUAUGAUUAGUAUGAUGUGUAUGAUUGUUUUUAUGACGAUGUGAACCCAGAAUCUUAUGAUAAGUAUUAUGUAGAACUUUUAUGCUUGUAUGAUAAGAUAGUUAGUGGUCAUGAGAAGUUGAUAGUGCAAGUGAUUAUGAUGUAAAUCAUAGUGGAUAAGAUAAGGGUAAGUGGUUUGUGUGUUAAUCUAACUGCACCAUGUAGCAGUGGCAUAUGGAUGGUCCUGCUUGGUUAAUCCGCAUUGGGGGACCAUACUAUUUAUGGACCGCGCUUGGUUAAUCCUCGUUAGGCGAUCCUUAUGGCCAUUUUUAUUUAUGGGUGAUCAUGCUUGGUUAAUCCGCAUUGGGUGAUCAUUGCGUAAUAGUUAUGUAUGUGUGACCCUGCUUGGUUAAUCCACGUUGGGGGUCACUACCUACUUGGUUAUCUUAACCCUACUUGGUUAAUCCGCGUUGGGGGGUCACUAGUGGUCCUGCUUGGUUAAUCCGUGUUGGGGGAUCAUACUAUAUAUGGAUUGCGCUUGGUUAAUCCACGUUGGGCUAUCCUUAUGGCCAUGUAUGCUUAGGAGUGAUCAUGCUUGGUUAAUCUGCGUUAGGUGAUCACUUCCUAACAGUUGUAGGAGUGACUCUGCUUGGUUAAUCCGCGUUGGGGGGUCACUGCCUACUUGGUUAUUUUCUCAGGGGUGGCUUUACUUGGUUAAUCCGCAUUGGGGGGUCACUGCCUACUUGGUUACUUUCUCAGGGGUGACUCUACUUGGUUAAUCCACUUUGGGGGGCCACUUCCUGUUUGGUUACUUAUGUAGGCUUCGAUCGAACUGCGUCCCUCUAGCCCUAGUUUUUUUUAUGUAUAUAUGAACGAUGGUUUUGUGAAUCUUGAUGUUUGAAUUAGAAAAGUCGUUGGAUGUCUGGGUGACUCCUUCGGAGUUUGCAAGGACUUGAUUAUGAUUUCAUAAAGCAUGAUGCUAUACUCAAUGUUUAUAGAUUGUGAUCGAUGGUUUGUUUUUACUAAAUAUCACAUACUUGUAUUAUUGUCACCCACCCGAGCUUCGCAGUUUAUCUAAGUGUCUGAUUGGCCCAAUGUACCAUUUCCAUGAUGUAGGCAUUGAUUUUACAUGUGAUAAAUUUGGGUAGAUUAUGAGAAACUGCUUGAUAUUUUGGAUUCCGUUGAGUGGUCCGAAAUCCUUGCUCUUGCUCAUUUCCAUAAGGUUAGUCUAGAACCCUAGAUUCGAGUGAAUGGGAAUUACCCGCACUAGACCUUGUGAAUAUAAAUUAGAUUUACCAUUUUUAUUACUUAUAAUCCAAUUAGGGAAUUAUAUAGAGUUCUUUAAUUAGAUUCAUAAAAUGAUAUGUUAUCGCAUUGUUUGAUUAACGUAGUUAAAUGCUAAGAUCAUGCAUCUUUAAUUCAUGAAUUGUCGGAAUUGUGGAAUGACGUUGAAUAUGAUUGUUAUUAUUAUGAUUAUUUUAGUUGAUCAAGGUAGCUUGAGAUUAAUACUAUGCUUCGUUGGUUAUUUGAUAUGUUACAUGCUAUGGAUGUAUCACGCUAAAGAUAAAGUGAAUGAUGUGAUAAUUGUUCAAGUGUAAUGUAUGACGAACUACGAAUGGCUUGAUCCCUAUUGAGGGUACAUAGGCCGUCUAAUGAGGAGGUUAGAUGCAACUAUAAGAUAUAUGAAAAAUCACUACGAAAUUUGAUUAUGGAGUUGUAAUUUGCCAUAUUCCGGAGGCGGAUAAGUUUGAGGUACGAGUUUUUGUGACGUCACAUGUAGAUCAUGGGCGUAUGUUAGGAUCGAGGUGUGACAAAACUGCUUUCAAUUGCCUUGUAAAAUUACUCAUAAUUAUGACGAAAUUUUUUUCAUGAAAAUAAAAAAUUUCAAUUUUCUCAAAAAACAUGGGUAACCAUCAUGGCUCUAGCCUAUUUUGCAAAUUCAUAUAAAAUUCGUUAUAACAUAUAUUUGCUUUCACCUUUCGCACCGUGUGAUUUUGAAAAUUCAUGUAAGACUUUUGUUAGUAUAGUUGUAGCUGGAGUCGCAUUUAGGCAACGUUUUGGGUUAUAGUACAAUUUUUGUCCAUUUAUUUUUUAGUUUUCGGCUUAAAUAUUCCAUUAAAACUGCUUCAAUUGCAUUAUAAAGUUACUCUUAAUCAUGACGGAAAAUAUUUCUCAGAAAUAAAAAUUUUCAUUUUCUCAAAACAAAAAAAAUGUGGGCUAACCAUCAUAGUUUCUAGGCUAUUUUGCAAAUUUGUAGAAAAAUUGUUGUAAAAUCUAUUUGCUUUCUCCUUCACAACAUUGUCAGGUUUUGAAAAUUCAUGUAAGAUUUUUUUUGUUAAUAUUCUUGUACAUGAAGUCCAUUUUCUAGAAUGUUUUGAGUCGUACUACAAUUUUUGUUGAACUAUUUUCAAGUUUCCGGUUUAAAUAUUCUAUUAAAAAUACAUCUAUGGCUCGAUAAAUGGUAAAAUAGCUUUCAAUUGCCUUAUAAAGUUACUCAUAAUCAUGACGGAAAAUAUUUAGCAAAAUAAAAGUUAUCCAUUUUUCUUAGAAAAACACAUGAGCUAACAAUCACGGUUGCUAGGUUAUUUUGCAAAAUUGUACAAAAAUUGUCAUAAAAUCUAUUUGCUUUCACCUUUACCGCACCAUAGGGUUUUGAAAAUUCAUGUAAGACAUUUUGUUGAUAUUCUUGAUGGCAAAUAUUUUGCAAAAAAUUAUAAAAAAACAAAUUGCAUUUUUGUCAAAAAAAAAAAAGGUGGGCUAACACGGGUUGUAGGCCAUUUUGUAAAUUUGUGUCAAACUUCUUAUUGAUGCUUAUAGAUGAAGUCUCGUUUUAGCAAUGUUUUGGGUCUCACUACAAUUUCUGUCCAUAUAGUUUUAAGCUUUCAGUUUAAAUAUUAUAUUAAGAAUACAUUUGUGGCUCAAUAAAUGGUAAAAUCACUUUAAGUUGCCUUAUAAAGUUACUCUUAAUCAUGAUGGAAAAUAUUUCGAAAAAAAUAAAAAGUUUCCAUUUUGCUCAAAAGAGAACAUUGGCUAAUCUUACUGUUUCUAGGUUAUUUUGCAAAUUUAUACAAAAAUCAUCAUAAAAUCUAUUUGCUUUCACCUUCACAACAAGAUUUCGAAAAUUCAUGUAAGACUUUCUUUUAACAUUGUUGUAGAUGGAAUCUCGUUUUGGCAAUAUUUUGGGCCCUAAUACAAUUUUUGUCCAUUUAUUUUUUAAUUUUUGGCUUAAAUACUUUAUUAAAAUACAUUUGUGACUCAGUAAACUGUAAAACCGCUUUCAAUUGCCUUAUAAAGUUAUUCUCAAUCAUGACUGAAAAUAUUUGGCAAAAAAAAAUGCAUUUUUCUCAAAAAAAAAAAAAAAAACAUGCACUAACUAUCACGGUUUCUAGGCUAUUUGGCAAAUUUGUGAGAAAUCAUUGUGAAAUUUAUUUUCUUGGACCUUCACCACACUGUGUGGUUUUUGAAAAUUCAUGUAAGACUUUUUUAUUGAUAUUCUUGUAAAUGGAGUCCCGUUUUAGCAAUGUUUUGGGUUAUAGUUCUACAUUAGCUCCAAAUACUCUAUAACUUUUCUUAAAUUCUCUUUUCAGGUCCUUAAGUUUUUACAAUUACCAUCACAUACUUUAAAAAGGUCAGCAUGUGGAAGAGACUUUAAAAGCUAUACACCACCGGUCCAUCACAUGUCUUUUCUUGAAGACUUGGAAAGAUACUUUAAGAAGAGAUAUGCCUUACAUGGAACUAAUGGAAGAAAUUGUGCAAAACCGAUUACAGUGAAGUUCUAAAAUUCAUAUAAUCAACAUUACUUAAUGAAAUAAAACUUAAUUGUUAUUGCAAUAUAUAUUUAAAUCCUACUGGUCAUGGAAGUGCGUGGUUGGCCAUAGGUGUAUUUUCUCAAAAAAAACUUCCGUAGGCGUGCUUUGUAUGGGCUCCACUACUAAGUUUUAGACUUUAGGACGGAAGUGAUGAUUGCGUAAUGCAUUAGCAGUGACCAACAAUGUCAAACGUAUUUUAUCCUCCUCAUGCGGUUGGAGGAGCUUUGCACUUGCUUGUCAAACUCAAAAACAGUGUUAAAACUAUAAAAUUAGUUUCACAACCAAAAUCUUCGUCUUACGAUUUAUUUAUUCAUUAAAUAGGACUAUGUAAUAUUAGGCUAAUUUUCCCAGUUAUUAAUUUAUUAUAUCGAAGCUGAUGUUGUUUAGAAAAAUAACAUAUUUUGAGUCCAAGGCAAGGAGCCAUAUGGAUGGUAAUGAUUUAGUGAAAAAUCUCUAAGCUUAAACUAAUCUUUAUGAGCUUAAACAAUGUCUUUCUGUGAAUAUUUCAAAGUCUUUUGUUUAAUGAGACUUAAUUUUAAAAUAACGGGAUCCUUAAGGGGCAUCUUUAAUCCACUAUAACACAUCAUAAAGAAUUCAUUAAAACAAGGUACAAGGUCAUCUUGGUAAACCAUAAACUUAUAUUGGCAAACAAUAUAUAAAUUUCAAUAGCAAGAUGUUGAUUUUGUUAAAUACAUAUAUUCACAUGAAUUAUAUCUGAAUAUCAGAUAAUAAUUGAAUUAAAUAUAUGUAAUAUUAUACAGACUCUAAAUUCCGAAGGCAUGAUAAAUUAUCUCUCUUUCACAAAUGAACUUUUGAUCACAUGGCACACACCAAACACCAAAAGAUUGAACCUAAAGCUAAAACCCAUCAAUAUCAAUGGAAACUAAACAAUUCCUUACACCAAUAUGUGCUCCUCUAAACACCUACAUAUAUACUUUCACACUAGACAAAUCCCUCUUUUAAUUAAUUACGACAACAUUAUGGUUGGUUUAAUCAAAUAUAAAAUGGCAUAUAUCCCACAACCUAAUUCAUUCAUACACACAUAACUAAUCCCAUAUCUCCAUUAUAGCUUGCACUUUUCCUGCUACCUUUCCAUGUCUAUGGGCGCAAAGGCUGUUUUUCCCAUAUGAUUAACAAAACUCUUUGAGUCUCCAAGCUUACUUAUCUUUUGAGAUUCAACAUCAAGAUCCGUAUCCUCUUCAUCUUCUUCGCGUAGCCUUGUCAAUGAAAAAUACUCAACCUUUUCGCCGUAAACCUUAACCAAAACCAAAUAGAAGGACACCCCAAAAAUGGCUAUUCCCACCAAGAACCAACUAAAUUGAAGAUUCACCAAGGACUUGGCUCUGUGACGUGCCUCAUCUCCAUGGCACCUAACCACUUUGUGACCCUCCUCUAAGUUCAUGAAACAACCUUUUGGCAUCAAGUCAGGUGUCCAGAGCAUGAACCCCAUGACCAUAAGCCAAACCCCUUGGAAAAAUAUGCUAAGUGACCUCACAAAGCUGACCAGAAAACUCUUAGGAAAACCAAUUCCCAUAAGGGCUGUGGUCAAAGAAACAAGGACCACAAGCUGCAGAAGCAUGUGGUAUUGGCCUUCAGGUCCCAUGUGAUCAGCAGAGUGAAGGUGAAAGAGAAGAAGCUGCUGCCCAAAGGCUAUGGCUCCAAGGAGUUGGGUUAAACCAUGUUGUGCUUUUGGGGCAAUUUUGUCGAGGACGAUGGCAAAAGCUGCAUAGACCAAGAAAGCCAUGGAUAUUGAAGAGUGCUCAA